rnacentral:rRNA from 1 species
UGAGGAAUCUUGCGCAAUGGGCGAAAGCCUGACGCAGCGACGCCGCGUGGAGGAUGAAGGUCUUCGGAUCGUAAACUCCUGUCGAGUGGGACGAAGCAGGGGCGGCUAACAUCCGUUCCUGUUGACGGUACCACUAAAGGAAGCCCCGGCUAACUCCGUGCCAGCAGCCGCGGUAAUACGGAGGGGGCCAGCGUUGUUCGGAAUCAUUGGGCGUAAAGGGCGCGUAGGCGGCCAUGUAAGUCCGUUGUGAAAUCCCUCGGCUCAACCGAGGAACUGCGACGGAUACUGCAUGGCUUGAGUCCCGGAGAGGGUGGUGGAAUUCCCAGUGUAGCGGUGAAAUGCGUAGAUAUUGGAAGGAACAUCGGUGGCGAAGGCGGCCACCUGGACGGGUACUGACGCUGAGGCGCGAAAGCCAGGGGAGCAAACAGGAUUAGAUACCCUGGUAGUCCUGGCUGUAAACGAUGGGCACUUGGUGUUGCGGGUAUCGACCCUGCAGUGCC